rnacentral:antisense_RNA from 1 species
UUCCAAGUCUAGAUGUAAUAUAUUAAGAAACGAUCAACUUUGGCAGUCAAAAUGAAAAUAUACUGAAUCAUGAAUGUUUGCAUUUGGUGAUCAGGGUUUCACAGAGAACAUAUUGAGGGAUUCUUGUGCUGGCACCAGCUGCUUAACCAUCAAGGAUUCUGUUAUGAAAUACUAUUCCUGGAAGAAGGCCUUUUGAGGAAUGAAGUAUAUCCUCUUUGAG